AUACUUACCUGGCAGAGAAGAUACCAUGAUCAUGAAGGUGGUUUUCCCAGGGCGAGCCUCAUCCAUCACACUCUGGAUGUGCUGACCCCUGCAGUUUCCCCAAAUAUGGGAAACUCGGCUGCAUAAUUUGUGGUUGUGUUUGCACUCUU
rnacentral:snRNA from 1 species